CGAAUAGAAGCCCGCUGGCUAGGGCAGUUAGCUGUUAAUUAAAUUUUCGUGGGAUCAAGGCCCGCCUAUUCAU
rnacentral:tRNA from 2 species